UAAAAUUUGGAUUCAGUUAAAAGGUCGCACUUAAGGACCUAGAAGGCCUGAUGUGGCCUUAAGGCCUCAGGUUCCCAGUGGCGAGUGGAGUGUGUCAACGUCCUUCCCGUCAAUGUCCUCCCUUUCAACAGUCUCCUAAUAAGUCCCCCACACCCUCCCUGCCUCGUGGGAAAACACUAUUUUACAAAGCGAGCGCCUCAGAGUUUAAAUAGUUGAGUUCUACCCUGAAGCUGCUGCCAGGAAAUUAAUUAGAAAAGCUCCGAUCACCAAGAGCGAGGAGCAAAGCGGCGGAGACAGAAACUCACCUGGACGCGGAAUUUGUUCCUGCCCCUUUCCAGGUUCGAGGGAUCGGCCCGAGAUCACUCCCGGGAGGCCGGGGGAAUUACAGAGAGAUGCCCGCGGGCAGAACAGGAAGUCCGGGCGCCGACACACACGGUAAGGGGCCAGGCUUCGGAGGAAAGAAAAGUGAAAGCGUUCCUGCCCCGCGCGUGGCGGGCCCGGCCCAGCCGACCCAGCAGGAAGCUGAAGGCAGCGCGGGGCUCGCGGGCUCCCGCCGCUCCGCACCGUUCUCCCUACCAGGCCACCCACGAACUCCUCAGAAAAAAACAGAUGGGAAAGCUGGUUCGAAGGCUUAAGAAGCCUUGAAACCAACGUUGACGUGCCUUCUAUGCUUCCCAUGGAGCUGCCAGCAGCACAUCCCACCCAAGUAUGUGCAGAGCGACAGGUCUGGCGCCGUGGGCCGUGGCGACGGGGUAUCCGGCGAGGAGACGAUGUGAUGCUCGCGGCUGAGGGUGGGCAUCGGUGCCUUAGCACCGUAACACGCGGACUGCAAGAUGCAGGGGGUAGCGGUGCUGAGGGAUUCUAAGACUCUUAUGCAAAUGUCACAGUUCACUUACCUGAAGCCCCUCCACAUCACCUGGCAAACCCCUUCAUGGGCAUCCCAGGAGCCCGGCAGCAAGAACUUCUUCCUUCAGAGCUGUUUAAAGAUACAUCAGUAAAAUGCAAUCAAUCAAUAAAUAAAAAUAAAACAGGAAGGGGAAAAUAAUAAUGUCAGAUCAGGCAAAAAUCAUUACAUGAAGAAAGACGUGAAUAAGGAUGAAAGAUGUUUAUUCUAAGAAAUACAUACUCAAGAAUACAGUAAUAAUGGGAAAACCUCACCUGUUAAUACACUGCAUUAAUGAUACAUGAAAUGAGAGUAUUAAAAUUAUGUCUAAUUCUUUUUUAGCUCAAUUUUAUUGAGGUAUAAAAUUAAUUUAUCUUAA